rnacentral:snRNA from 17 species
AGCUUUGUGCAGUGGCAGUAUCGUAGCUGAUGAGGUUUAUCCCAGGUAUGAUUAUUACUAAUCGAAAACUCUUCCCAAUACCCAGCCAUGACAGCUUGAAAUACAGUCAGUACUGA